rnacentral:lncRNA from 1 species
CUCACACAUGCCAGGCAAGUGCACUAAUGCUGAGCCCCAGCCCCAGCCCUGUAGUUGCCCCUUUCUCACUCCCAUUUCCCCCCAAUUCUCCAUUCCCCACAGAGCAACCAGCAGGAUCCUUUUACAGUAUCAAUCCAGUCAUGCUACUUUCUUGCUUAAAACUCUUCAAUGGCUUCCCUUUGUACUUAGAACAAAAUCCAACCUCAGCCAGCACAAUGGUGGUGGCACUUGCCAAUAAACUCAGUGACUCAAGAGGCUGAGGCAGGAGGAUCACAAGUUCAAGGCCAGCCUGGGCAACUUAGCAGCACCCUCAGCAAGUUGGAAAGACCCUGUCUCAAAAGAAAAAUACUUUUAAAAAGGGCUGGGGAUGUGGCUCAGUGAUGGAGUAGCCAUGAUUUCAGUCCCCACUACUACAGAAACAAAACAAAACCCAACCUAAGCUUGGUUUCUUCAUCCCUAGAGUAAGCACUGAACGGCGGAGGCCCAUUUGGAGCCUGGCCCAUAACAGGUGUCCCAACACUUUCAGGAAAUUCUUUUGAGUUGGGCAGUUUUUAGAACCUGGCCAUGUCUACUCUGCAAUGUCAUUUAAGCCACUUUCUCCCGCUUCCUGCAUCUUCCCACACUGGAUUCUAAUAGCAUUGGAACACUCCAAGAACCCUCUUCUACUUUGGGCUUUUGCUUAUUCUUGCUACUAGAAUGUUCCACACAGUUCCUCACAGGGUUGCCUCCUUGGGCCACAUUUUCAGAGUUUCAAAGUCAGCUCCUUCACUCCACCCUAACUCAAGUGGCAGUCCUUACCAAAUUCCAGAGUGUCCCCCAUCACAGAAACCCUAUUUCCUGUGCAGUUUGUGCCAAAAACUGUCACUUGACACUCACUCCUUGAAUCUGUUUCCUGUCUCUCUCACCAGAUUAUAGGUUCUCCGUAAGUUUAAUUUUCUUUUUUUCACUCCCAUUAAAGGCUGGGCCUAGUAUACAAAUCUCCACAGGUAUUCACUCACUGAAUUUCUUUUUUUUUUUUUUUCAGUACAGGGAACAGGGGAUUGAACCCUGGGGGUGCCCACCUACCACUGUGCUACAACCCUAGCCCCUUUUAUUUUUCCGUUUUGAGACAGGGUUUUGCUACAUUGCCAACUGACUUGGAGCUUGUGAUCUUCCUGUCUUGGCCUCCCAAUUCACUGGAAUUACAGGCAUACGCCACCACACCUGGCUUCAUUCAGUGAUUUUUAACAAAAAGCCUUCCCUAGUCUGCCCUCUAGAAGUCAUUACUAGGUCCCCCUGGAGUCUCACAGUUCUCCAUUCUCACUUUAUUGUGACCCAUCUUGCUUUGUAUUUUGAAUUGAUGUUAUUUGUACAGAGAAGCAGGGUACUGUGUUCAGAUUCCAAACCUGUUACUUCCAAGGUUCAGAACAGUGUCUGGUAUGGAGAAAACAGCAUAAAGAGUUAUUCUUUAGUCAGGCAUGGUGGUGCAUGCUUGUAAUCCCAGCAACUCAGGAGACAAGGCAGGCAGAUCACAAGUUAGAGGCCAGCCCAGGCAAUUUAGCAAGAUGCUAUCUCAAAAUAAAAAAUUAGAAGGGCCAAGGAUGUGGCUCAGUGGUAAAGACUCCUGGAUUCAAUCCCCAGGACUGAAAAAAAAACCUAGUUAUGCUUUAAUAUCUUUUUAUUCUCAAGAAAAGCACACACAGCCAGCAUGGUAGCACAUGCUUUUAAUCACAGCAGUUCAAGAGAUUGAGGCAGGAGGAUUGCAAGUUCAAAGUCAGCCUCAGCAAUUUAGUGAGGUCCUGAGCAAUUUAGCAAGAUCCUGUCUCAAAAUAAAAAUCUAAAAGAGCUGAGAUGUGGCUCAGUGGUUAAGUGCCCCUGGGUUCCAUCCCUGGUACCAAAAAUAAAAAGAAAAAAUAAGUGCAUACAUGUAGAAAAGCUUAGAAAAUACAAAUGUAUAGCUCAGUGAAUUUUUAGAAAUAGUCAAAUAACUAUCCAGGUCAAGAAACAGAACAUGAAUAUUACCCCAAACGCCUUCUUCAUACCAUCCUUCCUAAUGAUUACCUCUUGGGUUCUCACCAAAAGUGUCUGUUCUGACAUAUUAUAAUUUGUUUUGUGCCUAUUUGAAAAACAUAAUGUGCUGGGCAUAGUAGUGCAUGCCUGAUAUCUCAAGGUAGAGAUAGAGGCAAGAGGAUUUUAAGUUCAAGGCCAGCCUGGAC